rnacentral:lncRNA from 1 species
AGCUCUUCUGAGCACUUCUACCCAGAGGGGCUCCUAAGUGCCUUCAUGCAUAUCCUUCUCAUCUAAUCUCAUGAGCACUCAGUGAGGUGAGUACUGUUAUUAUCCCCAUUGAAGAGAUGAAAAACUGAGAGUCAUCAUGAAACCAAGAAACCUUGUGGCCUUGUUGUGACUGGCAGGUGGAGGACCCUGGAUUUGAACCGAGUCAGUUGACUGCAGAGUCUGUGCCUGGGCUUGGGGGUGGGUAAUUCUUAUUGAAACACUGACCAGCAGUGUCUGUUGGAGGAAAGUACAGAUUGGAAAACAGGAUUUGGUCCAAACCAGAAAUCUCAGGACUUCUGAGAAUCCUUCUGUCUGAGCACCUUCCCCCUUGCUUCUUCCCUGGACUCCUCUGAGCCUUUUCACUUAAGAUUUCAAUUGCCCUGGGUUACUAAGUCAAGCACAUAAUUCUAUCAGGCAAUGUGUAGCGAAGGGGAAAAUAUUCUCCUCUGGAGAGUGAAACCCCAUCUACUGUCAUGACAAGCCUAGCAACAAUUUCUCAGUCACCAGUUUAUUUUAUUUAAAACAAGAACAGUAAAUCAAAACAGCAAAUGUCUUUUAAAUGGGAUAAGGGUUGGUCUUGUUCCUGGAGCCAGUGAAUAAUUCCUUUUCUAAUAUUUGAUUUGGAUGUCUGUGUUAUUCCUUAAAGGUAUGGAAAGAAUAAAGUGACAAAUUUUGAAAUUAUUUUUAUAGCUUAUAUAGGCAGGUACUUUUCAAGAAACUGAUCAUCUUAUGCUAAAUAACACCUUUCUCCCUGAUUCCCACCUCUGUCCAAAUUUCAGGAAUUUAUUUUACUAUUCCUCUAUUCAUGACCAAAGCAUCUCUGAUUCAUCACUGAAAGUUUGAGUAAGAACACAGAAACUGUUAAGUAUAUAAAUGUAUGCUUAGGUAUUUAUGUAUAUUAUACAUGUAUAUUUAUUUAUAUAUUCAUUUCUGUAAGUUUAUCUGUUGAUAAAAGAAAAAUUCUGAGAUAUCCUAAAUUUAAUCACAAGGGCUGGAGAAGGGAAGAGAGAAGACAUAAGGGAAGUUAAUCAGUUAACAGCUAUGGGGCAAACCACCAAAGUAUAGUUUCAUAUUCCCAAAUGUAGUUUGCACCCUUGACUUAUAUCUCCAGGCAUCAACCACCAGGCUCCCCUGGUCAGGCUUAUCAAUGGACCUUCUGAUCUCUUAACCCCAAACAGUCUUUAAGAAAGAAACACAUCUCCUUAAGAACUGUCCCUUUCUUCUCAUUAUCCCAACCCUCUUAUCUAUAGCCAAAGUAGUCUCAAUAUAGACAAUUUAUACUUUCCUCCUCCACAUAUUCAUUAUGGAAACAUUGCUGGUUCUUAGGUCAGGCAGACAUAUUCCUAACCACUAUCCAGCCCUGCUGCUGAUUGCUGCGGCACUUGUUCCAGAAUCAAGUCCUUUUCUUGCUAGCAUCUGUAAACAGCUCAAUAAAUCCUUUUGUUUCAGAGACCCCUCCAUCUUAAGAGUUUAGUUAAAUUAUCUAUCUAUCUAUCUAUCUAUACAUAUAUACACACAUAUAUAUAUCUUUAAUUGGGAAAUUUUGCAUAAUUUGGGAGCCAUUUGAUAAAGUAUAUCUAUAUCUAUAUCUAUAUCUAUCUAUAUAUGUGUAUAUAUACAUACAUAUAUAUAAUAUAUAUACAUGUGUAUGUGUAUGUAGACACACACAGUCAUGCAUUGCUUAUGAGGGGGACAUGUUCUAAGAUAUGCCUGGUUAGGUAACUUGUCUGUCAUUGUGGAAACAGUAUACAGUAUCCUUAUACAACUAAGGUUGCUAUGACAUUACU